UGUAUGUAGCUCAGUGGUAGAGCACUUGCUUAGCAUGCCUGAGGCCCUGGGUUCUAUCCUCAGUACCAG
rnacentral:tRNA from 1 species